rnacentral:rRNA from 1 species
AGUGAACGCUGGCGGUAGGCCUAACACAUGCAAGUCGAACGGCAGCACAGUAAGAGCUUGCUCUUACGGGUGGCGAGUGGCGGACGGGUGAGGAAUACAUCGGAAUCUACUUUUUCGUGGGGGAUAACGUAGGGAAACUUACGCUAAUACCGCAUACGACCUACGGGUGAAAGCAGGAGAUCUUCGGACCUUGCGCGAUUGAAUUAGCCGAUGCCGGAUUAGCUAGUUGGCGGGGUAAAGGCCCACCAAGGCGACGAUCCGUAGCUGGUCUGAGAGGAUGAUCAGCCACACUGGAACUGAGACACGGUCCAGACUCCUACGGGAGGCAGCAGUGGGGAAUAUUGGACAAUGGGCGCAAGCCUGAUCCAGCCAUACCGCGUGGGUGAAGAAGGCCUUCGGGUUGUAAAGCCCUUUUGUUGGGAAAGAAAAGCAGCAGGUUAAUACCCCGCUGUUCUGACGGUACCCAAAGAAUAAGCACCGGCUAACUUCGUG